GGUGCGCUGGACGGGCAGCUGGUCCACGGUGUUCGUGACGCCGGACGUGCGCGACGAGUUCGGCCUGUCCGUGCCGC
rnacentral:tRNA from 1 species